GGCUUGGCAGGCCGGAACGGCACUGAUGGACAGAAGGGCAAGUUGGGGAGAAUUGGACCACCAGGCUGUAAGGGAGACCCUGGUGACAAGGGCCCUGAUGGCUACCCAGGAGAUGCAGGAAACCAAGGACAAAAAGGAGAUGAAGGUGCAAAGGGAGAUCCCGGCCGGCCUGGUCGCAGUGGACCUCCAGGACCUCCAGGGGAAAAAGGGAGCCCGGGUCUUCCAGGCAAUGCUGGAGCCCAAGGACCUCCUGGAAGCAAGGGAGGAAAAGGCGAAGCAGGACCUCCUGGACCCAAAGGAGAGCCUGGUCGACGUGGAGAUCCAGGAGUGAAAGGCAGUAAAGGGAGCCCUGGGGCCAAGGGAGAAAGGGGAGAUCCUGGUCCAGAGGGUCCUCGCGGCCUGCCCGGAGAGGUUGGAAGCAAAGGAGCAAGGGUAAGCAAGUAGUGGUUCACAGUAGCCGGUAGAGAGAUAGAGUGCUACUGCCCCAAGGACAG
rnacentral:lncRNA from 1 species